AUCGCUUCUUGACUUUUGGGUAAUAUCAAGUGUAGUAUCUGUUCUUAUCAGUUUAAUAUCUGAUAUGUCCUCUAUCUGAGGAUAAUGUAUUAAAUGGAUUUUGGGGACUAGGAGAUGGAGUAGGGGCUUGCUCCAUCCACUCCAUGCAACCUGGUAUUGCAGUACCUCCAGGAACGGUGCACACACA
ensembl:snRNA U2 U2 spliceosomal RNA